CCCAGAUUUCUCUAGAACUCUUGGCAUCGAGACCCGUUUCCUCAACCAGGAAACCCGCGCCGGUGACCCGACUCCAUCUCUGCCUUUCGGCCACGAUACUGCCGCGCACCGGUGCGGUUCGACUUCUCUUCUCAUCGCCUACCUUCCUACGGUUUUGGUUCAUCCAAUCUCUGAUCGAGGGAAGAGAAUCGAACGCCGGAAGUUUCUGGUUUUCCGGCUGCAAAUUCCGGUGUCUCCGGCGAUUUCUUGUGAUGCAUGAGGUACGAAACGAAAUCCUUUCGUCAAGCUUUACGUCUGUGUAUGUUUAGUUUUUUAUUUUGGUUUAGUUCUGAACGAAUUGAUAUAUUCGGUGUCAUCGGGCUUGGUCGGAGUUCACUACUCACAGCGGGUGUCACCUGUUCUCACGUUUGAACUGUCCAGUUUGAUUGAAAGAGUCAUAUAUGGAGAAUCGAUUGAGACUACUUCGAGUUAAGCUGUUAAGGUAAACCAUUCUCGGCAUAGUCUUGUGAUUUUGAAGUUGGGUUGUCAAUCUUGGAAACUAACUGCCUUCUUGUUAAUUGAAUGGUUGAGUUUGGAGGAAAACGCAGAAAUACGAAGGGAAUGGGAUCCAGAAGCUUGAGGUUGAAGAGAAGUGGGAACCUAUAUUUUUAGGCUCUGCUUGUCGAUAAUUAAUGAAGGUAAUAGUCUCAAAGAAGUGCAUUGGUUUGGACUUUGGAUGUUGUUGAGUGGACAAAUGAAAGUUUGGUAUUUGACCAUCUAAGUAUGCGUAUUGGUCACCUGAUGAUUUGAAGUUGGUUAAAAUGAUUUUUGGCUUGUUUAUUGGUUUCAAGUGGUGGAAUUGGAAUGUAAAAGUUGGAUCACCUCUGUGCAGAUUUCACAUGAAUGGUUGGUGCAAGUUGUUACAUACUCCAAGACCCAAAUUGGGUUUUAGACAGAAAACUGAAUUAUAAAAGGUAAUUGUGAAACCCCAACCUUGGAAUUGUGUAUCGUAAGUUGGUUGUACAUAAAGAGUUGGAUGGAUUUGUUAUGUUGAUUGUAAUGGUUGGUUGUGUUGAGUGUUUAUGUGGGAAACAAGAAUAAAUGUUUGGAUUUGGUUAUAUAGAAUGCGAAAUACGGGUGUGUACAGGAGGUUUUGAAUAUGUGGGACAAUGGCAUAUUAAGUUCCUUCAAUUGUUAAGUUUUUUUGUUUUUUUGGGAGAAAUCUUUAAUUGUUAAAGUUGAAGCCAUUGAAAGAAAUAUGUUGUCAUAGAAUUAAAACUUGGUCUAUUGAAGUUGACGUUCUUUUUUCUGGCAUAAAAAGUAACAUUACAAACACCACAACGAAAGAAACAAAGAAACAGAAGGGAAACCCCAUGGAACACGCUCUCAUGGGGAAGCAGAAACUGCUGCAUCAAAUUGAAGGAUGUGCUAGAGGGUGGGAUGGUCAUUGAGAAUGACAAUAAAAUGGAAGUAAUUGUAUGUACCGAGCCAUGACAAGUUGAAUAAGUUCACAAAAGUUAGCAUUCAUGAUUGGUCAUGGAAGGUUUGAGACCUUGUAUACUACUUGCCUUGGAGUUUAAUUGAGCUGUAUAUCAGAUGUGGUGGGACUUGAUUACCAUGAAUGAUUAAAUGACGUUGUUGGACUCCAGUUACCUGAAACGUAAAAGAUGGUGGUGUUUGCCUAGGAGAGAAUGAAACCAAAUCUGCUGAUAUUUCAGGAGCAUAACGACUUCUUUGGGCUUUGAUCCCCUAAACCUCCUGAGGGGUUGUAUGGACUGAAGAGUGUCUGACAUCCUUUGAAGUGUGACACUACUUCUAGGUGAUAAGGUGUAAGUGGAUACUAACGAUAUUAAUCGUGGUGAGGUUGUAGUUGGCACAGAAACCGGUCAUCAUGCAUGUAUGUUUUUCUUUAUGGGCCCUACUAGUUUUUUUUUUUUUAAUAAACAAACUAUGAUUUGUGGUUUCGAAUAUAUUAUCAUAUGCAUCAUUUUUCACUUACUUUAAUUGUCGGCACCAUUGUUUAAUUGUUUUUACACCUAGCUGGGCUUAAGUCUUAUUGAGCAGUGAGGACGAAAGCUCACCCCUACAAUAGUUUGUAGAUGCAGAUACUGUGUACGAAGACAGGACAGUUGGAAGAUGCUAAAUGUGGCUUAAUUACCCUAUACUUCAAUUGUCACUGACGGAGUUAGAUCCGUGUGACAGGUUUUUCUUUUUUUUCUCUAUUCUCACAAAACUUGCUUAUCAAGAUUGUGAUUGUUUGUAAAAUACCUCUUUGUAUAUUUUUUGGACUUUGGUUUUAAACUGGAUAAUCAUUCGAUAAUUAUUUUGAAACUUGUAUUUGUUUUUAAAGGAUUUCCAUUGGUUUUAUAGUUUUCACCUCCCUUAAACAAAUGCUUCCGUGCUCAAAUUUUAGUAAUGAACUUAUUAAAGUAUUUUAAUUUCCUUGUUUUGCCUUGUGAAUUCUUAGGACUUGAGUUAAGCAUCUUAGCUUAGGUUUUAAGAAUACACGGCACUGUAAUGUGCUCGAUUUGAUGUGGUGCAUAUCGGGGUGUUACACAUAUAGUAUUUAUAAAAUUGAAUUUAUCAAUACAAUUAAGGAUUAUUUAAUAUAAAUAACCAUGUCUAAUGAUAUAUUGAGUACAUAGUUAAGGAGGCCUCCGAGCAAUAUGGAGCGACCUCGAGAGGCAAAACCUAGGGUCUCGUGUGGCAGCAGCGAACGUGUGGUAUCCAAACUAGGGCGACGACGAGAAGACGGAGCUGCAGAUCCUUGUUCAGUGACGUCGGUUGUUCUAGGCAUUGUUCGACGACCCAUUUUUGAAGCGGUAUGGCUCUGAUUCGCGGCGGCUGAAGGCUGUGAUAGUGAGGCUGUUGGGUUAAGGCUUCGGGUUCGACAAAUGGUGUUGCGUCACUGCUGCGCCGGAAGUACUCUUGAUGGGUCCAUGGUAGUGCACUCUUGGUUUCUUGGACGAGUAUUGUUUUACGACAGAGGCUUUGAGGAGACGUCUUUGAGCAUCACUUGUUGAUUUCCAGGUCGGAGGUCCGGAUUUUCUUCUCUAGUCUUCAACGAUGGUGGAGGCCAGAGGGAGGUCGCCGAAACAAUGAGGAUGGGCUGCUCACCGGUUGGUCCUUCUGACUGCAUCUUUGGGGUUAAGUUGUGGGGUGCAGGAUUAGCCUUGGGCCUCAGCUUCCCUGGGCUGCAGUCUGGAGGGCUAGGCCUUGGGUUUGUCUUGGUAUGGGCCAGUUGGAGGUGAGCCUAAUUUAGUUUUUUUUUUUGCUUUGAAUAAGUGUUCUUACCUUAUUAUGCCCUUGGUCGUAGCUGUACACACAGUACGCUGACUGAUGAGUGACUAUGUCCGCCAGGAGCCCAGGAGGGUCUUUAGGCAUCAAUGCUUGUCAAGUCAGUUACUCUGAUUUAGAGUUGGAUAGGUGUAGGAUUUUUAUAUUAUGCAUUUUUCAGUUUUGUAUAGUUUUCAUUUUUUUGAUGGCUCUACUUUAUGUAGACUGAAUUGCACUUUGAGAUGUAUUAUGAAGGAUUUUUGAAUAAUUCUAGCUUGACAGAGAGA